rnacentral:rRNA from 1 species
UCGGGAAUUUUGGGCAAUGGGGGAAACCCUGACCCAGCAACGCCGCGUGCGGGAAGAAGGCCUUCGGGUUGUAAACCGCUUUUGUCAGGGAAGAAACGCUCUGGGCUAAUACCCUGGGGUAAUGACGGUACCUGAAGAAUAAGCACCGGCUAACUACGUGCCAGCAGCCGCGGUAAUACGAAGGGGGCUAGCGUUGUUCGGAAUUACUGGGCGUAAAGCGCGUGUAGGCGGGUCGUUAAGUUGGGGGUGAAAUCCCGAGGCUCAACCUCGGAACUGCCUUCAAAACUGGCGACCUGGACCUAAGUAGAGGCAAGUGGAAUUGCGAGUGUAGAGGUGAAAUUCGUAGAUAUUCGCAGGAACACCAGUGGCGAAGGCGACUUGCUGGACUUAUGGUGACGCUGAGACGCGAAAGCGUGGGGAGCAAAACAGGAUUAGAUACCCUCGUAGUCCCUGAGCGGGCUGGCAAGGCGCAU